GACGAACGCUGGCGGCGUGCUUAACACAUGCAAGUCGAACGGAAAGGCCCUGCUUUUGUGGGGUGCUCGAGUGGCGAACGGGUGAGUAACACGUGAGUAACCUGCCCUUGACUUUGGGAUAACUUCAGGAAACUGGGGCUAAUACCGGAUAGGAGCUCCUGCUGCAUGGUGGGGGUUGGAAAGUUUCGGCGGUUGGGGAUGGACUCGCGGCUUAUCAGCUUGUUGGUGGGGUAGUGACUUACCAAGGCUUUGACGGGUAGCCGGCCUGAGAGGGUGACCGGCCACAUUGGGACUGAGAUACGGCCCAGACUCCUACGGGAGGCAGCAGUGGGGAAUAUUGCACAAUGGGCGGAAGCCUGAUGCAGCAACGCCGCGUGCGGGAUGACGGCCUUCGGGUUGUAAACCGCUUUCGCCUGUGACGAAGCGUGAGUGACGGUAAUGGGUAAAGAAGCACCGGCCAACUACGUG
rnacentral:rRNA from 1 species